rnacentral:misc_RNA from 1 species
GCAUUGAAGCAUUUGACCUGAUGACAAGUAUAACAUUAGAUCCUUGACAAAAAGUAGAAACAGAAUGCUUUAAGAACUGUGACUGUUUGAAUAUCCAACCAGAACCCUUUGCUAGGUGCCCAAGCCAAGGCUUUAUCUUUACUCCCUGCCAAUGCAAGGAGGAUAUAUUACUAGUCCAUAAGACCAGUGGCAAGACAUUUUAAUCUCACAAACUCUGAAGACUAUUUUCAGAUAUCUGAAGGUUGAUUUUGCAAUGCCAGGCAAUAAUGUCUAGGCACAUCAACG